AAUCUUCCACAAUGGGCGAAAGCCUGAUGGAGCAACGCCGCGUGAGUGAAGAAGGUUUUCGGAUCGUAAAACUCUGUUGUAAGGGAAGAACAAGUACAGAAGUAACUGGCUGUACCUUGACGGUACCUUAUUAGAAAUCCACGGCUAACUACGUGCCAGCAUCCGCGGUAAUACGUAGGUGGCAAGCGUUGUCCGGAAUUAUUGGGCUUAAAGCGCGCGCAGGCGGUCCUUUAAGUCUGAUGUGAAAGCCCACGGCUCAACCGUGGAGGGUCAUUGGAAACUGGGGGACUUGAGUGCAGAAGAGGAAAGUGGAAUUCCAAGUGUAGCGGUGAAACGCGUAGAGAUUUGGAGGAACACCAGUGGCGAAGGCGGCUCACUGGCCCGAUACUGACGCUGAGGCGCGAAAGCGUGGGGAGCAAACAGG
rnacentral:rRNA from 1 species